ACACUGUGUUAGUAAAGAGAGACAUCAUUCAGACUUAUUCUUUCCUGCCCCUCGGCUUCAUUUACUCCAAAAAAAUAAGAAAAGUUAUACAGUUAAGAAAACCAAGUGCGUAAUUUCUUGACAUAUAUUUUUUUCACUGUAACUUUGUACCAGGGCGGAAGACGCCUUUAUGAGCGCGUGGGUGACAACCUUUGAUUUUAUACUUUUGGCACUACCACGAGGAAAGCCGUUGACGAUUCCUCAGGAUAAGACACAAAACAACCUUAUAUCGUGUGUGCAUAAAGUCUUUGACUUCUAAGGAACUCAAUAACACAGAGCUGGUGAGUUUUGAAGUGCGUUACCUGCCUGUCUCAUUGAGUUACAGCAGGCAGUGACCAGUUUAUUCGGACUUUUGAAGUCCCUUAAAAGCGGCGUACAGUCUGAUGUCUACCGGGACCUCAACAACACCGAGCUGCCGCAAUGUCAACCGGAGCAGGAAAGAGACUAGAAGCACGGGUGAGAAAGUUGGAGUCACUGAUCAAGGACCAACAAUCACCGCUGAAUAUGGAGAGUUUACUGGAUUCAGUAACCGCUCUGGCCCUUGAUCUAAACCAUCCUGCACUGAGAAAGAACAAAAAUAUUGAUGCCUUCUUAAACCGAUAUGAAAAGGCAGUUGGCCGCCUCAGGGAAUUACAGGUUAAGCUGGAUGAUUUUGACAGAGUCCGACUGAUUGGUCGUGGAGCUUUUGGCGCAGUGCAGCUGGUACGACAUAAAGCCUCUCAACAAGUGUAUGCCAUGAAGCAGCUCAGCAAGUUUGAGAUGGUCAAGCGCUCUGACUCCGCCUUCUUUUGGGAGGAGCGUGACAUCAUGGCAUUCUCUAAGAGUCCUUGGAUAGUGCAGCUGUGCUGUGCGUUCCAAGAUGAGAAGCAUCUAUAUUUGGUGAUGGAGUUCAUGCCUGGUGGAGACCUGGUGACUCUGACCAGCAACUAUGACAUCCCAGAGGAGUGGGCUAGGUUCUACACAGCAGAAGUGGUGCUUGCACUGGACGCUAUCCAUUCUCUGGGCUUCAUCCAUAGAGACAUCAAACCAGACAACAUGCUGCUAGACCGCAACGGGCACCUUAAACUCGCUGACUUUGGAACAUGCAUGAAGAUGGACUCGACUGGUAUGGUCCGCUGUGACACUGCUGUCGGAACUCCUGAUUACAUUUCACCAGAGGUUCUGAUGUCACAAGGAGGGACUGGUUACUACGGCCGCGAGUGUGACUGGUGGUCUGUGGGAGUUUUCAUAUAUGAGCUGCUAGUCGGUGACACACCAUUUUAUGCUGAGUCCCUGGUGGGCACAUAUGGAAAGAUCAUGGAUCAUAAAAACAGAUUGACUUUUCCAGAUGACAUUGAAAUAUCUAAGGAUGCUGAAGACCUCAUCUGUGCCUUUCUGACUGACAGGGAGGUGAGGCUUGGCCGGACCGGAGUGGAUGAAAUAAAAUGUCACCCCUUCUUCAAGAACGACCAGUGGACCUUUGACACCAUACGAGACACCAUGGCUCCAGUGGUGCCAGAGCUGAGCAGUGAUAUUGACACCAGUAACUUUGAUGAUGAUAUAAAGGAUGAUCCAGGGGGCAACGAGACCUUCCCCCCUCCCCGUGCCUUUGCAGGAAAUCAGCUUCCGUUUGUGGGCUUCACCUAUUUCAGGGAGGACGAGCUUUUAACCCACAAACAUAACAGUUCAGAGAAGGAGACUGAAAGCUGCACUGAUAGUUUCACAAAGGAUCAUGGUUUAAACAAUUCUGAGUCCAAUGAUCUGCAAAGGAAGCUGAUUAAGUUGGAGGAAAAAAUCAAACAUGAGAUGCAGACAAAGGAGGAACUGGAGAAUAAAUGCCGAACAGCAAAUCAGCAACUGGAAAAGUUGUCCAAAGAGCUUGAAGAAGAGAUGAAUGACAGACAGAAGGUGGAAGAGACUCUGAGGGCACUGGAGAGAGAGAAAGCCUUGCUGAAACACCAGCGCUCCGAGAGUGUAAGAAAGGCUGGUCUGGAGGCCGAUAGAAAGCAUGUUCUUGAGAAUGAGGUGGGUAGCCUGAAAGAGCAGCUAGCCGAGCUGAAGAAGAAGAACCAGAAUGCUCAUCUCUCCACCGAGAAGAACAUUCACCUGGAGAGGCAGUUGGAGGAGGUAAAUGCUAAGCUUCAGGCUGAGGUAGAAGAGUUGGAGAGUCUAAAGAAGGCCCAGGGUGAGGCAUUGAGACAGUCCCAGCAGCUGGAGAUCUCUCUCAAAGAGCUUCAGGAGCGUCUGGCCCAGCUGGAGAGCACCAAGUUGGGUCUGGAACAGGACAAACUGAGCCUGCAAACCUCACUGGAGGUGGAGAAGCGAGAGAGAAGUCUGGGCUCUGAAACCAUCAAUGACCUACAGGGUCGUGUUUGUGAAUUGGAGAAAGAAUUAAUUCGCAUGAAGAAUUCUCUCUCAAAAGCUGAAGCAGAGAAAAGACAGUUACAGGAGGAUCUUACUGCCCUGGAAAAGGAGAAGAACAAGCAGGAAAUUGAUUUCUCCUUUAAAUUGAAAGCUGUUCAGCAGAGUCUGGAGCAGGAAGAGGCAGAGCAUAAAGCCACUAAAGACCGAUUGGCUGACAACAACACAAUCAACCAAUCCAUUGAGGAGGCCAAAUCUGAGGCCCUCAAAGAUAUGGAGCGUAAGCUGCUGGAAGAACGAUCUGCAAAGCAACAGUUGGAAAGCAGACUGAUGCAGUUGGAAAAGGAAAACUCAGUAUUAGACUGUGAUUACAAACAAGCCAAACACGAGCUUCAGGAGCUCCGAUCACUCAAAGAAAAAUUCUCUGAGGAGGUGGAGGUGUUGAGUGUGCGGGUACAGCAGGAGACUCAGAGGAAGACUCUGUUUCAGUCUGAUAUGAAAGUGCAGAGGCAGGAGAUCAGCACCCUGCGCUCCUCUGAGAAACAGCUCAAACAAGAACUUAACCAUCUACUGGAGCUCAAACUCAGUAUGGACAAACAUAAUCAGGAGCUGCUCAGAGAGCGAGAAGAAGUGGAUGUACAGCUAAAAGAGUUGAAGGAUCAGUUGGAAGCAGAGCAAUAUUUCACCAAACUGUAUAAGACUCAGAUUCGAGAGCUGAAGGAGGAGAGUGAUGAAAAGACUAAACUCUACAAAGAUGCUCAGCAGAGACUGCUGGACCUGCAGGAAGAGAGGGACUCAUUAGCAGAACAGCUGGAAGAGAGUCUGACGAAGGUUGACUCUGAGCAAUUGGCACGCUCCAUCGCUGAGGAACAGUACUCCGAGCUGGAGAAAGAAAAGAUCAUGAAGGAGCUGGAGAUCAGAGACAUGAUCGCCAGACAUCGGCAGGAACAUGGCGAGAAGGACAAUAUAAUCAGCUCGCUGGAGGAGUCUAAUCGCACACUGACUGUGGAUGUCGCCAACUUGGCCAGUGAGAAAGAAGAGCUCAACAAUAAGCUCAAACAUCUACAUCAACAGGUGGAGAAGGCCAGAGAAGAUGAAAAACAGAUGAAAGAUUUGAAGCUGUUCUUUGAGAAGCAGAUCCAGUCUGAGAAAACCCUCAAGAUACAGGCUGUAAACAAGCUGGCAGAGGUUAUGAAGAAGACUGGUGACAGGCCACGACAAGGCAACGACACUGACAUCCGCAGGAAGGAGAAAGAGAACAGACAGCUGCAGUUGCAGCUACGCACUGAGAGAGAAAAACUCAGCCAUGUUAUGAUCAAAUACCAGAAGGAAGUCAAUGAAAUGCAGGCUAUGAUAGCGGAAGACUCUCAGGUGCAGCUGGAGUUGCAGAUGGCUCUUGACAGUAAAGACAGUGAUAUUGAGCGUCUGCGGUGUCAGCUCACUUCUUUCAACAUCCACUCUCUGGACACCACUAGCAUCAGCAGUACUGGCAAUGACCUGGAGCAGGAUGGCAAUUUUCCAGUCCACAUCACACACUCUCACACCUCAGAGUCUAUGUCCUUCAUGUACCAGCGAAGCUCCAAGUCACUGUGUAUUGAUACCCGGCCAUGCCAGAUUGUCCCUCUGUUCCCCUCUGACUCGGAGGAAGAGGAGGAUGAGGAAGAACAUUGUGGGCCAAGGCCCGCCCUCACAUAUGAGAGGCCCACUGACCAAAAGCCUGCAGAUGCUAGUCUAGAGGGAUGGCUCUCAUUGCCUACCAAGAACACUAAAAGGCUUGGCUGGGAUAAGAAGUAUGUGGUGGUAAGCAGCAAGAAGAUCCUGUUUUAUGAGUCAGAGCAGAACAGAGAGCAAUCCAGUCCAUUCAUGAUUCUGGACCUAGACAAACUCUUUCACGUGAGACCUGUCACUCAGACAGACAUGUACCGCGCAGAUCCCAAAGAAAUUCCACGGAUUUUCCAGAUACUAUAUGCUAAUGAGGGAGAGAGCAAGAAAGAGGAAGUUGCUGUGGAACCAUUAUCGGCAGCUGAAAGGUCGUCUUUUAUCCCACACAAAGGUCACGAGUUUGUGCCCACGCUCUACCACUUUCCCUCCAGCUGUGAAGCCUGUUCAAGAACUCUGUGGCAUGUCUUCAGGCCUCCACCAGCCUUGGAGUGCAGGCGCUGCCGGGUGAAAUGCCAUAAAGAUCACAUAGAUCAAAAAGAAGAGGUCCUUGCUCCUUGCAGAGUAAACUAUGACAUGUCAACGGCAAAAGACCUCCUGCUGCUUGCCAGCUCCGCAGAAGAGCAGCAGAAAUGGGUCAGCCGCUUGCUCAAGCGGGUCCCAAGAAAACCUGUACCCCACACUCCAAUUCUAGCUAUAUCUCCUCCCCCCUUCGAGGGAUCUCCUCCACCUGGGCUGUCCCCUCAACCCUCUCCGCACCUGUCCUCCCAUUCCUCCCCCAGCAUUUCUCACAGAGGAGCCAUCAACGUGCAUUCCACCCGACAGCAGCACUCACCCAACACCAGGCGAAAAGAACCAGACAGCUCAACAAGAUAUCUUGAGUUGGGCCUGACGGACUGGGGUUGGUCUCUUGAGGUUGAAAUGGAUGAUGACGAUGUAUUAGACUUCUGAAGAGUUGAGAGUUUGUGGGGAAAACACAGUGGUGCCUUAGCAUGUGUUGUGUUUGGUUUUCAAGCAGUUAACCUUGGGGAAGUCUGGAUAGGUGAUUAUCCAUCUGGGAACAAUUACAUCACAGAAGAAAAUUACAUACUUUUCAUUUUGGCAAAUGGAAGGACGUCCAAGUACAAAUGAUUGAGGGCCUUAUAUUUAAUACUACACAAGCCAUAUAUCACCUAAAGGGUGUAGUUUUCAUUUUAAUUUUAUGUCAUAAAAAUGUAUGUCUUCCAAAACAUGAUAUUCUUUAAAGUAACUUUUUAAAGUAAAACCAAUUUAAAGUUUAGAGGUUGCUUUUAUUUCCAAACAAAGUCGUCAGUGUGUGUGUGUGUGUGUGUGUGUGUGUGUGUGUGUGUGUGUGUGCUGUGCCAUUGUGUGUGUUUGAAGCAGAAUAUAUACUUUGGCUCCACAAUUCUAUGAUAAUCAUAUAUAUAUAUAUAUAUAUAUAUAUAUAAUUUAAUUUUUUUUUUUUUUUGACAUAAUGCUUUUCAAAGAGCCAUUAGAAAGCAUACAUUAGCUGUUGCCAGAAAUAUCUGCUCAAAAUACAGCAUAUGCAUUGAAGACAUAUCAUUAUUGAUAUGACAUGAUGCAAAAAUGCAAUCCAUAUAACAUUUUAACGUUUCAUUAUACUCAUUAAAAAAAAGAAGACUUUUGUGUUUGUAUAUCGGAAUAUGAAGAUCUCCAAAUCAUUUUCUGUAUUUUAUCUAAGCAAUAAAACAUACAGAAAAUUGCCACUGACAAUUUAUUGAGACAUGUUGUGAAAUUGUUAAUAAAAGUUUAUUUGA